CGGUACUUCACACCACCCUAGAGGAGCCUGUCUAAUAACCGAUACCCCACGAUUAACCCUACCCCCUCUAGCCCAACAGUCUAUAUACCGCCAUCGCCAGCUUACCUUGUGAAAGAAACAAAGUAAACACAACAGCCACCACUAACACGAUAGGUCGAGGUGUAACUUAUGGGGGGGGAAUAAGAUGGGCUACAUUUUCUAACACAGNAAAUACGAAUAGACUACGAAAAUAGAAACCGAAGGCGGAUUUAGCAGUACAUUAAGGACACAAUGCUUA
rnacentral:rRNA from 1 species